rnacentral:rRNA from 1 species
UGGGGAAUUUUGGACAAUGGGCGCAAGCCUGAUCCAGCCAUGCCGCGUGCGGGAAGAAGGCCUUCGGGUUGUAAACCGCUUUUGUCAGGGAAGAAACGCUCUGGGCUAAUACCCUGGGGUAAUGACGGUACCUGAAGAAUAAGCACCGGCUAACUACGUGCCAGCAGCCGCGGUAAUACGUAGGGUGCAAGCGUUAAUCGGAAUUACUGGGCGUAAAGCGUGCGCAGGCGGUUAUGCAAGACAGAUGUGAAAUCCCCGGGCUCAACCUGGGAACUGCAUUUGUGACUGUAUAGCUAGAGUACGGUAGAGGGGGAUGGAAUUCCGCGUGUAGCAGUGAAAUGCGUAGAUAUGCGGAGGAACACCGAUGGCGAAGGCAAUCCCCUGGACCUGUACUGACGCUCAUGCACGAAAGCGUGGGGAGCAAACAGGAUUAGAUACCCCCGUAGUCCCUGAGCGGGCUGGCAAGGCGC